AAUCUCAUAGCAGAAGAAGUUCUGCAGAUCGAUAGAUAUCAGGAAAGGUUUCUCAGUUCCCAGACAGAAUUUCCAGUUAGAACCAGGGGAAGACGCACCCAGAACAGACACUAACUUUUUUGUGGCUAAGCUACUCAGCUGGGAUGAAGGACAAUGGCAGAGAAGAGAGUUGGACCUGGUUCUCCCACAAGAGGAGGAAAUGUAAUCUGUAACAGGAGCCACUCAACAUGGGACGAGGUGUAGGUGAGUUUGUUUGGCGAGAAAUGGAUCUCUCACUACAGGCUUCAAUUUAAACUGGCUGACCCAGAAGGAAGAAAGUGCCUGGGAAAGGAGCAAAAGGAAAUAAAUAAGAAGUAAAAAGCAAAUGGAAAAGAAGAAUGAUGAUCAGAGAAGCAAGAAUUAAAGUAUUUUGGAAGUGUCAAAAGAAGACUUGACAAAAUGGUGCCAAGAGUUGCCAAUGAUGCCUGUGCUACAUUUAAAAUGGCUGUUUGAGGAAGAGAGCAGCCCCUCUUUGUGCACAUCCAAAUGACAAGUAAAAGGGCUGAUUCCAACUUAGAUAACAUGGAAGUUGGCAUUCAGAAAGAGGUAUGUUCUUCUUUUUCUGAUCCAGUCAGCAGAGGGAAUGUCUUACCUGUAUCCCAAGAAAAUAUUUCUUCUAUGCACAUAAAGUCUGUUGGGUGCUUUGUGAAUUUAGUGUGUAGUUACAUGAAA